GGCCAGACUCCUACGGGAGGCAGCAGUGGGGAAUAUUGCACAAUGGGGGAAACCCUGAUGCAGCAACGCCGCGUAAGUGAAGAAGUAUUUCGGUAUGUAAAGCUCUAUCAGCAGGGAAGAGAAUGACGGUACCUGACUAAGAAGCCCCGGCUAACUACGUGCCAGCAGCCGCGGUAAUACGUAGGGGGCGAGCGUUAUCCGGAUUUACUGGGUGUAAAGGGAGCGUAGACGGUUCUGCAAGUCUGAAGUGAAAGCCCGUGGCUUAACCGCGGAACGGCUUUGGAAACUGUGGAACUGGAGUGCUGGAGAGGCGAGCAGAAUUCCUAGUGUAGGGGUGAAAUGCGUAGAUAUUAGGAGGAACACCAGUGG
rnacentral:rRNA from 1 species